rnacentral:rRNA from 1 species
GAUGAACGCUAGCGGCAGGCUUAAUACAUGCAAGUCGAGGGGCAGCAUGACUGUAGCAAUACAGUUGAUGGCGACCGGCAAACGGGUGCGGAACACGUACGCAACCUACCCAAAACUGGGGGAUAGCCCGGGGAAACCCGGAUUAAUACCUCGUAACCUAGUGGAGUGGCAUCACUUUAUUAGUAUAGCUCCGGCGGUUUUGGAUGGGCGUGCGCCUGAUUAGGUAGUUGGUGAGGGUAACGGCCCACCAAGCCUGCGAUCAGUAACUGGUGUGAGAGCACGACCAGUCACACGGGCACUGAGACACGGGCCCGACUCCUACGGGAGGCAGCAGUAAGGAAUAUUGGUCAAUGGACGCAAGUCUGAACCAGCCAUGCCGCGUGAAGGAUGAAGGUCCUCUGGAUUGUAAACUUCUUUUAUAUGGGACGAAACCCGGGAAUUCCUUCCCGAUUGACGGUACCAUAAGAAUAAGCACCGGCUAACUCCGUGCCAGCAGCCGCGGUAAUACGGAGGGUGCAAGCGUUAUCCGGAUUCACUGGGUUUAAAGGGUGCGUAGGAGGGUAGGUAAGUCAGUGGUGAAAUCUUCGAGCUUAACUCGGAAACUGCCGUUGAUACUAUCUAUCUUGAAUACCGUGGAGGUGAGCGGAAUAUGUCAUGUAGCGGUGAAAUGCUUAGAUAUGACAUAGAACACCAAUUGCGAAGGCAGCUCGCUACACGAAUAUUGACUCUGAGGCACGAAAGCGUGGGGAUCAAACAGGAUUAGAUACCCUGGUAGUCCACGCCCUAAACGAUGGAUACUCGACAUACGCGAUACACAGUGUGUGUCUGAGCGAAAGCAUUAAGUAUCCCACCUGGGAAGUACGACCGCAAGGUUGAAA